UUUAUGUUUAUAGGUUGGUAAUUGCAAUAAUAAUAUCUUGAUGUACUAAUUAAUAAAUAUUUGAUGAGAUCAUUGUGUUUGUCCAAUUCUAAAGAAAACAAACGGAGGAUAGUCGGCAACAUCAUUUAUGGUUUACAGAUUUCGGUCAGAUCUAAAUCAUUAAUGCUUCCUCGGUCCCCUACUCCUCUCUCCUCUCUUAAGUUCGCUGUUUGACAAAUUGACAUUAUGAUGAAACAACGAAAGAUACUGACAUUAUUAAUUGAAAUAUUGAUACCGAAAAAGUGAAAAUUGAUGUAAAUAUAAUGGUUAACUCAAAUAUGAUGAAAAAUUGUUGAAAAAUCAAAUUUUUAAUCUUUAGUAUAUGACUUUAGUUAGUAUAUCCCGAAAAUAGAUUUUUUUUUUUUUUUAAAUCUUUCGUAGUUCUGUUAUUAAAAAGAAAAAGGAAAACAAACAUUUUUACUUCUUAAUUGGGUCCGGCAUUCCAAUGUACCGCUUCCCAAGUCCCACGGGUUACACCGACACAGCAUCUCUCCUGGGGUUAUACGUAGUUACGUACACAAGAGUUGAAUAAUUUAAGUCUUAAGUACACGACAGGUGACAGUACACUGCCACGCCUUUAAAUCCAUUUAUUUUUGUCAUUUGUUAUCAGAUAAAUUCAAAAUAAAUGGAAAUAGUCAAAAUAUUGAAGCAUUUAAAUAUCCAUUUAACCAAAAAAUUGAACUUUAAAAUGAUUCUAUUGAAACUGUGAGCUCUGUUUUUCAAUCGGUUGUGUUGAUAGUUAGCAAGUCUCUGUUGUGUAUUUACAGUGCUAAAGGAGAAAUGGGUCCAUCGAUUUUUUUUUAUUCAUUUGAUAUAUUCAUCAAUAAAUUCGAUUUGAUAGAAUGAUAGGAUUAACUUAUAAAUAAAUAGUUAUAAAUCGUGAGAUUAAAAUUAACGAUAUUUAAAAAUAAAAUAAAAAUACUAAAAUAUUUAUUAUAAAAUUAUAUAAUUAGUUGAGAUUUGAGAAGUUGAGACUUGAAUGUCAAAUUAUCUGUUUAUACUUUAUAAUAUAGUAUUAGAAAUUAAUCAAAUUAUUAUUUAAGAAUAUGAAUAUUUAAUUUAAAACAGUGAUGUCAGUAAUGUAAAUAUUUCAAGUAUGAAGGUUAUAACUUACCGAAUUCUUUUUUUCUCUUCAAUCGUCUCUGUUCCCACCGAUCCGAAUGGUCCAAACUCCUAACAUACUCCAUACGGCUGCAUAAAGAAAUGAAAGGA
rnacentral:lncRNA from 1 species